rnacentral:rRNA from 1 species
UACGUAGGUGGCAAGCGUUGUCCGGAUUUAUUGGGUUUAAAGGGUGCGUAGGCGGUCUAUUAAGUCAGUUGUGAAAUACGGCAGCUCAACUGUCGAGGUGCAAUUGAUACUGAUGGACUUGAGUACUGAUGAGGUAAGCGGAAUGGACGGUGUAGCGGUGAAAUGCUUAGGUAUCGUCCAGAACACCGAUAGCGAAGGCAGCUUACUAAGGAGUAACUGACGCUGAGGCACGAAAGUGUGGGGAUCAAACAGG